AUGCUCAACCACUGUACCACACUGGCCGGGCCAUAAUAUGACAUAAAUCCAUGCUUGGAGAGAACUGAGCAAGAAACAUGUAUACCAACUGUUUGCAUAUAAAUAAUAUGUCAUAGUUUAACAUAGGGAUUUUGAGGUACAGGUGCUUAUUUCUGAAUUUGAGAUGUAACAUUUGUUGAAUGUUUUAAAAAUUCAUUUUGUCUAUUAUUUAUAACAUUGCCAAGAAAAGGAUAACAUUUAGGCUAAAAUAGGUCCUGUUCAAACAUAGUGAAACUCAUUCUACAACAGGGACAAGAUUUCAAUCUGAAACAAAUUGGGAGAGGGCUUGUGAACUGCAGCAUAUUCUGAAAGGUAACAUUUAUUUUAGCAUAUAGCAACACACUAAAAUAUCCACCUGUGUGUGACAUAAUCUAGCUAUAAUUAAUGGUGAGAAGAAAUAAUUGUUUCUUAAUAGAACUGCUAGGAAAACGACAGAGUUUUAGAAUUAGAAGGGACUUAUAAAUCAUUGAACACUAGCCCAACCUCUAAACCCUGGAAGAAAUUUCCUUGUAAAAUAUUGCUGACAGUUGUCAUCUGUUCUUGCAUUGCCGUUUACGUUUAAUCAGUUCUGCUUAGAUUCUUUAAAUUGGGUUUUGGGAUUAGGAUAGAAUUAGUUGCCACUUUUUAUACUUGUUUAUAAUACAAAUAUAAACUUCACUUUGAACUGCUGCAUAGUUUGAACUGUCAAAUUCUAAAUUACAGAAGUUUUGGAUUUUUGUAAAAUAAUUCAAAUGUUUACUAAUUGUUACACCUGUUAUGUGUGCUAAAAAUAUUUCUGCCAUUGAAGUAAAAAACAGAGAUGUCUAAAAUUACUAGCACAACUUUUCACUUGGAAAUCCAAGAACAUGAAAUUAUUUUCCUUUAUAAUUUGUGUAAUCCCCUUCUUAGCAGUAUAAUGAUAAUGGUGAAGGCAAAUAAAAGUUUCACUUGAAUGUACGUUUUUUAGGUUAAAUUAAUGUGGGCUUUUUUAGGUUAAAAUUCUCUGAUCACUUGAGUUACCAAAAAAAUUUUACACACAUGCACAAUACCCAACACCUAUGGCUUUUAUAAAACCAGUAGUAAGUGACAUAAAGUAAUGUAUUUAAAAGUCCUCAUUAUCUGUAAAAGAAAACUUAAUUUGUGUUCUAGAAUUUAAAAAGAUAGCCAACCUUUAGUAUUUAAAGGAGAGAAAGUGAACAGAUGGGCUUGCUUGGUUAUUACUCUCUAAUAUUGCGGAGUGCAUUGGAUGACAAUGAGUGAAAAGCAUUGCUCUUAUUUGAUGGUAACUUGUGUUUUUGGGCAUUAUGGCUUAGUACAGUUAUGUAUUAAAAUACAGUCCUUGAUGUGAAAGAAAAAUAAAGAGCAAACACUGAUUUGCAGACAAACCAAAAUAGCAGUUAUAAUUAAGCUUUAAAAAUGUGUUGAGAAUUUUUAUUCUUUUCUAAAUUCAUCGUAUUUUGGGUUUUGAGAUUAUAAAAGUUUUAUUUUAAAUAUCCUUAGGGAUAUGAAUAAAUUUUCAUUGUUUUAAACUA